GACGCACCGCGGUGAUGGCGAGACGCCCGUCGAAAGCCUUCCUCACCGAGGCCUCGUCGACGUCGCCCCACAGUGCGGGCGAGAAGAUCCAGCCGUCGUCGUCCACACAGUCGAACCCCAUCGUCUUGUUUACGAUGCUCUCGGCGUAGAGCACGAGCAGCACGCCUUGCGCAAGAGAUCGUAAAAGACCCUGGCGACCGGGGAUUCUUGGUUCUUGGGCGUGGGGUGGGAGUGGCCGGGGAUUCUUGGUUUCUUUCCGCGAGGGAGAAGGAAGGAAGGAUAACAAGAAGAGAUGCGGGAGGCCGAGUCCGUGCGCCGGAGUUCUUGGGCGUUGGGUGGAGGCCGCCGGGAUUUCUUGAUUCUUGGGCGAGG
rnacentral:lncRNA from 1 species